GACGAACGCUGGCGGCGUGCUUAACACAUGCAAGUCGAACGGAAAGGCCCUGCUUGCAGGGUACUCGAGUGGCGAACGGGUGAGUAACACGUGGGUGAUCUGCCCUGCACUUCGGGAUAAGCCUGGGAAACUGGGUCUAAUACCGGAUAGGAGCCAUUUUUAGUGUGAUGGUUGGAAAGUUUUUUCGGUGUAGGAUGAGCUCGCGGCCUAUCAGCUUGUUGGUGGGGUAAUGGCCUACCAAGGCGGCGACGGGUAGCCGGCCUGAGAGGGUGGACGGCCACAUUGGGACUGAGAUACGGCCCAGACUCCGACGGGAGGCAGCAGUGGGGAAUAUUGAACAAUGGGCGCAAGCCUGAUGCAGCGACGCCGCGUGGGGGAUGACGGCCUUCGGGUUGUAAACUCCGUUCGCUAGGGACGAAGCUUUUUGUGACGGUACCUAGAUAAGAAGCACCGGCUAACUACGUG
rnacentral:rRNA from 1 species